rnacentral:sRNA from 1 species
CAAAUAUUGACUGCCUGCUGUCCCCCUGUUCCGGGUGCCGGGAAUAUAGUGGACACAAGACCCCUGCCCUCCUGUUCCGGGUGCCAGGAAUAUAGUGGACACAAGAGGCCUUACAUUGUAACAGGAGUGCUGGACAGAUGUGCCUGUCUGUCGCAGACUGAGGAGCGCCAGGAAGUCCAAAGCCAAGCCCAAUGGCAAGAAGCCCGCUGCGGAGGAGAGGAAGGCCUACCUGGAGCCCGAGCACACCAAGGCCAGGAUCACCGACUUCCAGUUCAAGGAGCUGGUGGUGCUGCCCCGCGAGAUUGACCUUAACGAGUGGCUGGCCAGCAACAGUGCGCGGGGGCCUGGGGGCGGGCCCCUUCCCUCCUCCCUGCUCCUCCUCGAAGCCCCUCCUCAAGGGGGACCCCCCACGGCUGGUUCUCAGCAGCCCCCUGCCGCAAGGGGAGAGUGUGGCCCGUGGACGGGCAGAGCUCACCCAG